UACGUAGGGGACGAGCGUUGUCCGGAGUUACUGGGCGUAAAGGGCGCGCAGGCUGUAGAUCAAGUCAGCUGUGAAAUGUCUGGGCUUAACCCGGGCAUGCGGUUGAAACUGAUGUACUGGAGUGCUGUAGAGGCAAGUGGAAUUCCCAGUGUAGCGGUGAAAUGCGUAGAUAUUGGGAAGAACACCGGUGGCGAAGGCGACUUGCUGGGCAGCAACUGACGCUGAGGCGCGAAAGCCAGGGGAGCAAACGGGAUUAGAUACCCGGGUA
rnacentral:rRNA from 1 species